rnacentral:rRNA from 1 species
UACGUAGGUGACAAGCGUUGUCCGGAUUUAUUGGGUUUAAAGGGUGCGUAGGCGGCCCGUUAAGUCAGUGGUGAAAGCCUCCAGCUCAACUGGAGAACUGCCAUUGAUACUGGCGGGCUUGAGUACAGACGAGGUUGGCGGAAUUGAUUGUGUAGCGGUGAAAUGCAUAGAUACAAUCAAGAACUCCGAUUGCGUAGGCAGCUAACUAGGCUGUAACUGACGCUGAGGCACGAAAGCGUGGGGAGCGAACAGG